GGGGACGUAGCUCAGUGGCAUAGCUCCUGCCUGGCAAGCAGGAGGCCAAGUAAAGCUUCCUCGUUCCUA
rnacentral:tRNA from 1 species